GUCUGCUCAACCUGCUUUUUAUACUUCAUCCAGGACUUACUUGCCCAGGGUGGUACCACCCACGAUACCUCUACUUUGUGUCAAGUUGAACAGAAACUAACAAGAACAUGGACUUAUCGGAGAGCAGAACAGCAACAGCCACAAUAGACAACACAAGGAAAGUCGAUGGAACAGGCCCUCAGCCCGUCAAGCAAAGCAGCCAGUCUCUAAGACAAGCCUCUGCCUCACUCAGAUGUGGAGUCUCUUGAGCUGAUGUGAUGGGAAGAACCUGAUGUCACUCACAUGGUAGUCUUCUGGCCGGGAUCAUUCAGGAAGAUGAGAAGUUGAACACCAAGAUGCCAGCCAGCAUCCCAUGUAUGGUGAAGGUCUUCUUGCCACAACUCACUUUUAAAAAAUUGUUUCUUUCUUUGUA